rnacentral:rRNA from 1 species
UACGAAUGGGGCAAGCGUUGUUCGGAAUCACUGGGCUUAAAGCGUGCGUAGGCGGUCUUGCAAGUCAGAAGUGAAAGCCUGGGGCUUAACCCCAGAAUUGCUUUUGAAACUGCAUGACUAGAAUCCUGGAGAGGUUGGGAGAAUUCCGAGUGUAGAGGUGAAAUUCGCAGAUAUUCGGAGGAAUACCAGUGGCGUAGGCGCCCAACUGGACAGGUAUUGACGCUCAGGCACGAAAGCGUGGGGAGCAAACAGG